AAAGUGGAAACUAAUCCCAUUUGCUUGGAAACAAAUUGUGGUUGUAAUAAUUGUAAUAGUACAGGAGAUUGUCAAUAUUUCUCUUUUAUGUGCAAUUUAAGUCUGGAAUUCAUCUGCUGACCCAUUCAUGUGCUUGUUUAGGACAUACACAUGUGGCUGAGGCACUGAAAGUACCGCUUCACAUAUUCUUUACAAUGCCUUGGACAUAAGUCUUGUUGUUUAAGUAGAAAUCCAAUACUCUUAAAAUUAUCAGAGUCACCACCUUAUCAUUAUAUUUCACCUACAUUCUGCAAGUGCCUUUUCUAUAUGCCAUAUUGUUCAUUUGUCACUGUCACAUUUUUAGAAAACAUGAUAAAGCAAAUAGAAACUGCAGUUUUCUGCUUCAGAUAAUAUUAUAUUCUUUUGCUUUGCACUUACAAGACUUUUCCA